rnacentral:rRNA from 1 species
UAGGGAAUCUUCGGCAAUGGGGGCAACCCUGACCGAGCAACGCCGCGUGAGUGAAGAAGGUUUUCGGAUCGUAAAGCUCUGUUGUAAGAGAAGAACGUGUGUGAGAGUGGAAAGUUCACACAGUGACGGUAACUUACCAGAAAGGGACGGCUAACUACGUGCCAGCAGCCGCUGUAAUACGUAGGUCCCGAGCGUUGUCCGGAUUUAUUGGGCGUAAAGCGAGCGCAGGCGGUUUAAUAAGUCUGAAGUUAAAGGCAGUGGCUUAACCAUUGGUCGCUUUGGAAACUGUUAAACUUGAGUGCAGAAGGGGAGAGUGGAAUUCCAUGUGUAGCGGUGAAAUGCGUAGAUAUAUGGAGGAACACCGGUGGCGAAAGCGGCUCUCUGGUCUGUAACUGACGCUGAGGCUCGAAAGCGUGGGGAGCAAACAGG